rnacentral:lncRNA from 1 species
AGCUAAAAACAUCCCAAGUGAUAUAACAUUCUUGCUCUGUGGUGUGAUGGAUUGAUUAAGUAGAAGGCUUGAAUCAGUGCUACUCCCUGUGUGGCCAUGAUAAACAGGAACAGAGAAAUGGAAGAACUUGCCCCAAACCAUGCAGAAGGUGGUAGAGCCAAGGACUCAAUAACCAGAUUUGAAAGCCAGCAAUCCAAUCACUGUAAUUGUUUGCCUCUGACAGAAGAUUGAUGAGAAGACCCCUCAUAGAGGCGAAGUGACUUCCCCAAGGCUGCACAGCUAAUGGGAGAUUUUGAACCACUUAUUCUCUGGGUUCCUCCAUUGAAGCUGCAAUUGCCCUGACAGCACUGCCUGCCCUU